rnacentral:rRNA from 1 species
UACGUAGGGGGCAAGCGUUGUCCGGAUUUAUUGGGCGUAAAGAGCGUGUAGGCGGCCAGACAGGUCAGCUGUGAAACUCGAGGCUCAACCUCGAGACGUCGGUUGAAACCGUCUGGCUAGAGUCCGGAAGAGGAGAGUGGAAUUCCCGGUGUGAGCGGUGAAAUGCGCAGAGUAUCGGGAAGAACACCCGUGGCGAAGGCGGCUCUCUGGGACGGUACUGGACGCUGAGACGGCGAAAGCGGUGGGGAGCGAACAGGG